AGGGUGUUAUUGGUUGAACAAACCAUCUUUAUAUGACUUUUGCGUCAUAGAGAUUCCCUAAGCCAACAUCGAGGUGCCAAUCCUCACUAUUGAUAAGGACUCUCUAGUGAGAUUAGCCUGUUAUCCCUAAGGUAGCUUGUUUUAAUGAUCUUGUAGAAGGGUCAGUAUUUUGAUAUAUUUAUCUUUUGUUUAGGGAUGAUGGAUAAUUCCCUGGUCGCCCCAACCGAAUUUUAGUAAAUUUUUUAUAUUUAUUUAAAUUAAGCUCUAUAGGGUCUUCUUGUCCUUCGACGCUAUCUAACACUCUUCGGUUAGAGGGUAAUUUUUAAGCGGCUUAUAGAGACAGUAUUUAUUUCGUUUAUCCUUUCAUUCUAGCCCACAAUUAAUGGGCAAGUGAUUAUGCUACCUUUGCACGGUUAGGAUACCGCGGCCGUUGAAUUACUCACUGGGCAGGAGUUACUCUUAAUUAAGGUUACUAAGAGCA
rnacentral:rRNA from 1 species